UGGGGAAUAUUGCGCAAUGGGGGAAACCCUGACGCAGCAACGCCGCGUGAUUGAAGAAGGCCUUCGGGUUGUAAAGAUCUUUAAUCAGGGACGAAACAAAUGACGGUACCUGAAGAAUAAGCUCCGGCUAACUACGUGCCAGCAGCCGCGGUAAUACGUAGGGAGCAAGCGUUAUCCGGAUUUACUGGGUGUAAAGGGCGCGCAGGCGGGUCGGUAAGUUGGAAGUGAAAUCUAUGGGCUUAACCCAUAAACUGCUUUCAAAACUGCUGGUCUUGAGUGAUGGAGAGGCAGGCGGAAUUCCGUGUGUAGCGGUGAAAUGCGUAGAUAUACGGAGGAACACCAGUGGCGAAGGCGGCCUGCUGGGCACCAACUGACGCUGAGGCUCGAAAGUGUGGGUAGCAAACAGGAUUAGAUACCCUGGUAGUCCACACCGUAAACGAUGAUUACUAGGUGUUGGAGGAUUGACCCCUUCAGUGCCGCAGUUAACACAAUAAGUAAUCCACCUGGGGAGUACGACCGCAAGGUUGAAACUCAAAGGAAUUGACGGGGGCCCGCACAAGCAGUGGAGUAUGUGGUUUAAUUCGACGCAACGCGAAGAACCUUACCAAGUCUUGACAUCCUGCGACGAUGCUGGAAACAGUAUUUUCCUUCGGGACGCAGAGACAGGUGGUGCAUGGUUGUCGUCAGCUCGUGUCGUGAGAUGUUGGGUUAAGUCCCGCAACGAGCGCAACCCUUACUGUCAGUUACUACGCAAGAGGACUCUGGCAGGACUGCCGUUGACAAAACGGAGGAAGGUGGGGAUGACGUCAAAUCAUCAUGCCCUUUAUGACUUGGGCUACACACGUACUACAAUGGCGUUAAACAAAGAGAAGCAAGACCGCGAGGUGGAGCAAAACUCAGAAACAACGUCCCAGUUCGGACUGCAGGCUGCAACUCGCCUGCACGAAGUCGGAAUUGCUAGUAAUCGUGGAUCAGCAUGCCACGGUGAAUACGUUCCC
rnacentral:rRNA from 1 species